rnacentral:rRNA from 1 species
UGGGGAAUAUUGGACAAUGGGGGGAACCCUGAUCCAGCCAUGCCGCGUGUGUGAAGAAGGCCUUAUGGUUGUAAAGCACUUUAAGCGAGGAGGAGGGUACUGGUAUUAAUACUACCAGGUACUGGACGUUACUCGCAGAAUAAGCACCGUCUAACUCUGUGCCAGCAGCCGCGGUAAUACAGAGGGUGCGAGCGUUAAUCGGAUUUACUGGGCGUAAAGCGUGCGUAGGCGGCUAAUUGAGUCGGAUGUGAAAUCCCCGAGCUUAACUUGGGAAUUGCAUUCGAUACUGGUUAGCUAGAGUGUGGGAGAGGAUGGUAGAAUUCCAGGUGUAGCGGUGAAAUGCGUAGAGAUCUGGAGGAAUACCGAUGGCGAAGGCAGCCAUCUGGCCUAACACUGACGCUGAGGUACGAAAGCAUGGGGAGCAAACAGG